rnacentral:lncRNA from 1 species
ACCAACUAAAUAAUGUUUCAAUUAAUUAUGAUUUCAAUAUGUUUAAUAAUUAAUUCAUUCAUUACCUUACAUUUUAUAAUGCAAGUAUAGUAUAAGCAUGAUUUUAUUUAAUUGAACAACUUACCAAGGCAUAUAACAACACAAACAUGAUUUUAAAUAUUCAAGUGGACAAAAUGCAAUCAAUUUAACACGAAUUAAUUUAAGUCAUCUUAAUUAGAAAAAGAAAAACAAAAACAAAAUUAUUCAUAUUCAUGAUCACAACAUAAAUAAGAAAAUUAAAGAGAAUGAAACUGGGAAACAAAUCCAGUAUUUCUCUGAAGCCAGACUAGUGCGCUCCUCUUCUUAUCUGCUCAUUCUAUUGAACCGAGGCCUCCAUGAAAAAUUUAAUGAUGCUAUUACAAGGUGGAAGAUGACUCUUUUUCAAGAGGGAAAUCGACAAGGGAAAUGGACAAGAAAGGGAAAACAAAGGAGAGAAAGAGAGUGAAAGAGAGAGAGAUGCGGGGAGGGGAGAGGUGUAUUGAAUGAAUAGGUGAAGGGGGUAUUUAUAGGUGAGAGUGGCUGCUAAAAAUAGCAAAUAAUUAGCAGCCAAAGAC